rnacentral:rRNA from 1 species
GACGAACGCUGGCGGCGUGCCUAACACAUGCAAGUCGAGCGAAUGAAGUUCUUUCGGGAAUGGAUUUAGUGGCGGACGGGUGAGUAACACGUGGGCAACCUGCCUCAUAGAGGGGAAUAGCCUUCCGAAAGGGAGAUUAAUACCGCAUAAGAUUGUAGUACCGCAUGGUACAGCAAUUAAAGGAGCAAUCCGCUAUGAGAUGGGCCCGCGGCGCAUUAGCUAGUUGGUGAGGUAACGGCUCACCAAGGCGACGAUGCGUAGCCGACCUGAGAGGGUGAUCGGCCACAUUGGGACUGAGACACGGCCCAGACUCCUACGGGAGGCAGCAGUGGGGAAUAUUGCACAAUGGGGGAAACCCUGAUGCAGCAACGCCGCGUGAGUGAUGACGGUCUUCGGAUUGUAAAGCUCUGUCUUUGGGGACGAUAAUGACGGUACCCAAGGAGGAAGCCACGGCUAACUACGUGCCAGCCGCCGCCGUAACAC